rnacentral:rRNA from 1 species
GACGAACCGUCCAAACGUUAUUCGGAAUCACUGGGCUUAAAGGGCGCGUAGGCGGCCGAGCGGGUCGCGGGUGAAAUCCUCCAGCUUAACUGGAGAACUGCCCUCGAUACCACUGCGGCUCGAGGAAGGAAGGGGUCAUGGGAACUGUCGGUGGAGCGGUGAAAUGCGUUGAUAUCGACAGGAACGCCGGUGGCGAAAGCGCAUGACUGGUCCUUUUCUGACGCUGAGGCGCGAAAGCCAGGGGAGCAAACGGG